rnacentral:piRNA from 1 species
UUAACUACGGGAAGGUGAGCC